rfam:Glycine soja cultivar W05 scaffold1080_45, whole genome shotgun sequence.
UUCUUAUUGGAUGAUGACGACCACGUGUCAUGUUCUAAUUGGAUGUCAACUCCAUGAAAGAUGAAAUGAAUUGUUGUUUUCAUUGAUCAAUCAGAACAUGACACGUGCAACCAUCAUCC